UACUGCACAUGUAUAUUGCACAGGAGCAAAAUGGCCCCGUCGCUUGAGUUUCUUUGUUGUCGCGUCCAGCUUCCCUCCCUUGGAUUUUAAUAAAUUUGCUGCAUGUUAAGAUGCGAUUGAGCUGCCUAAAGUUGGCCGGUUUCCCCGGCUCUGUGGAUGAUAACUUGGAAUAUUAUUUGUAGCAAGGUAACUUACAUUUUGAGAAUUCAGAAUUGUGUAGUACGGAGCCCUGUUGGAUUGCUCCUGGUAAAUCAGGUGCUGUAUGCCUGCACAGCAAGAUGGACAAACGCCCCAGAAGGAGCACUAGCAACAAGAAGUCGGUAAGUAGACUAUCAAUGUCUUCUCCACCCUCGUAUUCUCCCAAGUCGAUGUUGUCCACUUGCAUGUACAGUAUGUGAUUGGCCCUAACAUUUGUUUCAAAGUUCAUGUAUAAUUAGAAGUACAGGGCCUGUAGGAAGGUUUGACUACAAAAGCUUGGGGGAAAUGUUUAGCCUUAUAACCUCCCACAAUAUGAUAAUUCAAUAAUAAUUUUGCAUCAUCAGAGCAAAGUUUUGGCAAUGCAGUUUUAUGCUAUUCAGGCCUUUUGUGUCAGAGGGAUUGUUGUACUUGGUCUCUUAUGUUGUAACUGUAUUGGCCUCAUGAAUAACAAUUAAGUUUACAUGCAAAUGGCACAACAUCUUUUGUGGGUUUCAAUAUAAAAUGCAUGUACUGUACAUGUACAUUCAUGCACAUGUAUAUACAUGUACACAAGGGCUUAUAAAUUUGUGUGGGCAGAUGAUUUCAAAGGAAUUUUGACCCAAAUUUUGAAUGACGGUACAGAUUCAAAGUAAAUAAGAUACAGUUUGCAUUAUGUAUAUUGUCAUUGUAUUAAAUGAAGUUGCAAUGCAUACCGGUACGUGUAGUUCAAUCAAAUAUGAAUGACGAUAGAAGCACUAGAUGAUACAUGUACAUGUAGAUUCCAUAAGAUUUGUCAUCAAGAAAAUUCAAGACCAUAUCAAAAUUGUUAGAAUCCACUUUACCAAAAAAAA